CUGCCGGCAGCCGUACACAUGCAGUCGAGCGGAACGAUGGAGCUUGCUCCAGGCGUCGAGCGGCGGACGGGUGAGUAAUGCAUAGGAAUCUGCCCGGUAGUGGGGGAUAACCUGGGGAAACUCAGGCUAAUACCGCAUACGCCCUACGGGGGAAAGCAGGGGCUCUUCGGACCUUGCGCUAUCGGAUGAGCCUAUGUCGGAUUAGCUAGUUGGUGAGGUAAUGGCUCACCAAGGCGACGAUCCGUAGCUGGUCUGAGAGGAUGAUCAGCCACAUCGGGACUGAGACACGGCCCGAACUCCUACGGGAGGCAGCAGUGGGGAAUAUUGGACAAUGGGCGAAAGCCUGAUCCAGCCAUGCCGCGUGUGUGAAGAAGGCUUUCGGGUUGUAAAGCACUUUCAGUGAGGAAGAACGCCUUGGGGUUAAUACCCCCGAGGGAAGACAUCACUCACAGAAGAAGCACCGGCUAACUCCGUGCCAGCAGCCGCGGUAAUACGGAGGGUGCAAGCGUUAAUCGGAAUUACUGGGCGUAAAGCGCGCGUAGGCGGCGUGAUAAGCCGGUUGUGAAAGCCCCGGGCUCAACCUGGGAACGGCAUCCGGAA
rnacentral:rRNA from 1 species